AAGACUAUACUUUCAGGGAUCAUUUCUAUAGUUUGUUACUAGAGAAGUUAAGGGAUAAAGAAAGGGGGUAAUCAGAAGGGGGAAUGAAGCAUGGGAGACUAUGGACUCUGA
rnacentral:snoRNA from 1 species